UGCGGGGGGGGCAAGCGUUGUUCGGAAUUACUGGGCGUAAAGGGUUCGUAGGUGGCUUGCUAAGUCAGACGUGAAAUCCCUCAGCUUAACUGGGGAACUGCGUCUGAGACUGGCAAGCUUGAGUGCAGGAGAGGAAUGCGGAAUUCCAGGUGUAGCGGUGAAAUGCGUAGAUAUCUGGAGGAACACCGGUGGCGAAGGCGGCGUUCUGGACUGCAACUGACACUGAGGAACGAAAGCCAGGGGAGCAAACGGG
rnacentral:rRNA from 1 species